UAAGAUGACUGAAUAAGUGGUGGAUUGUAACUCCACAUAUAAAGGUUAAUACUCCUUUUCUUAC
rnacentral:tRNA from 1 species